rnacentral:lncRNA from 1 species
GGGGAUUGAAUAUUGGACAUGAUAAAUGGGAGACAAAGAGAUUUGACUAAUCAUGAAAGCACCCAAAGUUGUUGGGCUGCUUCCUUCAGUCCAAGGAAAUUGGCAAGGAAAGAACAUGAAAGAAAAGUUAUCUAAUUAUAAAAAUAUUAAUACUUUAUGUAUUAUCAAGUAAAAGUUUUAAAUUUCACAAAAAGAAGUGAUUUUGAUUUUCC